UUUACUUUAAAAUUAUUGAUUCAACACUUAUAAAUGCAUUUAAGUAUGAUACUUUGAAAAUAAGAGUUACAAUUUUAGCCUAAAUAGACGACUGUCAUGUAACUUCGCCUAGUUUUAAUAUCGGUCUUUAUGGCUACCGGGGAUUUGCAAGUUGACUGAGUGGGAAAAACGACCUUCAAUCUUCAUGUUUUAUGUAGUUUUCUGUAGUCACAAAGUCACUUGUGAAAUCUAGCGCAGCUAAGUCACAGCAAAGAGCAUCCGGCCAUAUAAUGCAAAAAACCAACAACCAAGUGCAACACGAGUAUG